AUUAGGUAUGAAACAACAAUAUUAUUAUCGUUUAUGCGUAUUGCGUUUCGUUUAUAGUUAAACAAAUUAUCCAGCGAUCUUUUCAUUUUACGUCACGGGAAAAAUGCACAAAAAAAUAUUACAAUAAUAAUUUGUCCUCCGGAAUGAAAACCACAAUAAUAUUCGUUUCUCUCUCGCGAAUCAAAUAACGAUCAUAGUCGUCUGAACGAGAAACCCGGUAUAAAUGAUAUUUUGCUUGUAGACCGCCAAAACCGCCUGCAAACAAAAGUACAUUCCGAAUGACUUGAACGAACACCGCCGGGGCAUUUAAUUUUUCGGCGAAUAUCCAAUGCGUGUCCACUGCUUAUUCCCCUCUCUCUUAACUUUUGAACUUACCCGGUUAUUCCGCAUGAGAGUACCUAUAAAAAAUAUACAAUGUUUUGUUAAAAAAUAUAUUCGUAUUAACCCAAUCAUUUAUCUUAAUAUGUUUUCUGUACAGUGUGGACACGAAUAGAGCAAAAUUUUUCCUCUACCGGGUGUGCCGAAUUUAAAUUAUUGCAUGUCCGUUCGGACACACGGAACACCUCCCCUCCCCCCAAAAUAUGCCCUAAACGCCUCACGUACAAAAAAAGAGCCUGUAAAUACAUAUGUUAAUAAUUAAAAAGAUACCUAAUACCCGUACAAACAUUUUUUUUUUCUGUUUAUCUUUACCGAUUAAGGAAUUCACAAGACAACACGACAGGCCGCGCAAUCUUGUACAUAUAAUAAUAUAUCAACUGCCGUAGACCGCGAACGGUCAUAUACUUACAUACUUACCAACUCUUAUUCUUUAUAAUUUUUGUAAAUACAAAUAACAAUAAUAACGAAAAAAAAAAAAAUAAUGAAAAAAAUUCUCCGAACGAUUUACCCUGUACAUAGUAACAUAAUCCUCAACCCCUCUCAUCGCGAGCUUUUCGAAGACCAACGGGGGUUAACCACCCCCUAUACGUUACAAUACGAUCGUUUCGCACCCGCGUACAAAUAGGGGAAAAACCCCGUAAGUAUACAUAAACUUAUACCGUAAAGUUUGUGCCCGUAGCCUUCGCGGAACCGUAAAACCGAACAGCAGCUGUCGUGUUCUCUUCGUGUGUAUUUUGCUUCUUCCGAUUUAUCGGUUUUUUUUAUUUUUUGCCCCAAUCAUUCGUUUCGUUUCGCAAUACAGAACAUACGAAACGCGCCUAAUACGUUUUCCUUUUUUUUUGUUUGUUUUUUAUCCCCGUCAUUACGUGCCAAACAUCUCGAAACAACAACAAAUAUCUCGUGCAAUAAAAUGAACGGAAAAUGCCUACACACGUUCUCUAACAGGUCGUUUUCUUUAUUUCUUUAAUUUUAUUAAUUUCGUUUGUUUUUUCGUUUUGAUUUUCCGAGACGAACGAGCUGCGGUAUAUUAUAAUAAUGAUGUAUACAAACAACCACAAACACACAAACAAAUAGCAAUUUAAUAAUAAUAAUAAAAAAAAAAAACGUCGGUAUAUUUCACAUAUAAGUACGCCAAGCGAUAAUUCGCGAAAAAAAAAACAUAUCACCGUGCGUUUCUUAUAUUAUCAUAAUAUCAAUAUCAACAAUAUCACCAUCAUCAUAACAAUCUCAGUACCAUUUGACGAAUGGCGUACUCAAUAGACAAAAAAUACGUGAUUCGACUAAACGCAUUCGCAAAAAAAACCAUCACGUCACAUGAGUCAUCGUGCCUACAAUAGAAUAUAAUGGCAACGAUCGAUCGAAUGUUAAAAUGUCGCAUAUCUGCGGCGAACAAGGACAGCGUCCGUCUUCAAAAGUCCACUAGGGGGUGGGGAAACAGUUUCAAUUUCAAUUGUGUUUUCCGACGAUAUUGGCCUUUUUUUUUGUUAAACCGUUAACAUUGUGUCAUAUUUACGUUGGUACACGAACCCAGGAGAACACGUCCCCUCUUGCCUCCGACGGACGCUUGCGUCAACUAACGACCCCGGGACCGUCGAGUCCGCGGUUUUUUUUUUUUGCGAAAUUUAUCAUCGAUCCGUCAUCGCGUAUUACACACACACAAACAGUAAAAUAAUUACAAUAUCAAUAGCCCAAAUACACGCUAUCGCUGUGUAUCACACACACACACACAAAUACAUAGAUUUUUUUCUCUCGCAGAUUUCAAUAAUUUUAUUUUAAUUUAGGGGUUAAUUCCGACAGACGUAUAACAAACGUCACUGCAAUAGCCCAAACCGGAAAAUUUCCGGUCCACACAUACACUGCACAAGAGCCAUUGUUGUGCAAGUAGUUCAAAAUUUCGUGUCAAAUGAUACUGGAAUUUUCGUUCCAAUGUUUUUUUUUUUUAAUCAUUCAUUUGCCCAUUUUUUUUUUCCGAUAUCCAUCCCCGGGUCGUCCCGACGAUCCACAUAAUUCCGAUUUUGCAGACUGCUAUUAUUUAUAGCUCGACUGCAUCUAAUAAAAAAAUCACGAUCGCCACCGUGAGCAGGUGAGGCGGGACGUCCGGAGUGGGACCCGAUGUGCAAUGGAUCAUCAAAAUCAAAAAAUAUUUAAAAAAAAAAAACAAAAAACAACAAAAACAUAUACCAAAACGCAGAUUUGUCGAAUCUGUUUUUUUUUUAAUUUUAUUUAUUUAUUUAUUUAUUUACUUAUUUAUUCGUUUGAUUAAUUAUCCGAUAAUCACGCAGUUUUAAUCCGUUGGAUGAUAAUAAUACAUUAAAUUAGUUAUAAUAAUACAUAUAUUAGGUAUAAAAUACAAAUACACGUACAUAAUAAUUUAAUAAUCGAUAAAUAAUAUGUAGUUAACGUAGGAUAAUACGAUAUUAUACUUUUAGUGCCGUUUUUUUCAAACAAGAAAAAAAUAAUAAUAAUAAUUCAACUAUACGAUAAUAAUAUACCUAAUCAUAUUCAUAUUAUACUAUUUACCUAUAAUAACAAUAAUUUCAUUUUAAAAUAAAUGAUAACGAUAAUAAAUAUACCUACAGUUUUUACUUUACGCUACGAAAACGAAACGGUUGAGUGUGAUUUUUUUCAUUAUAUUAUUAAGUUUUUCUCUCUCCAUCACCCCCCCACGUCCGAGUGUGUUACUUCGUUUAUUUUAUUAUGUUAAUAAUAUCAUCAAUCGAGUACACCGCAUUAUUAUUAUUUUUGGUUAUUAUUGUUUUGUUAAAUUCGACGACGGAUAUCACCAACAAAGUGAUUAUUCCUGUUUACUAUUAUCACACCAUAUAAUAAAUGUUAUUAUUUGUCGGAUUAAUUUCUUUUGUAAAACUAUUCCACCCUCCCACGUCCACAUUGUAGGUAAUACCCGAUCUUUAUAAUUUUCAAUAGGUACCUGUGGAUUUUUUUCUUUUUUUCUUUAUAUGGUUAUUGUUUAUUUUCCGUAGUUAUUUAUCUCCCCGUGUUUUACCCGUAUUAUUGUUUUCUCCACCUCCAUCCCCCAUAUGUUAUACUUACCUACCUACUAUACGAAACCAGUUAAGUUUUCAUUUUGCCGUUUUAGCUUAUCAGCUUGUUUUUUUUUUUUUUAUAUAUAUUAGUAAUAAUCGCAAUAAUUAACAAUUUAUACAAGGAUAGUGUGUUUUAUCGUUACAAUAUUUAGCUUUCUGGUUUUUUUGCCGAUGUUACAAUACGUGUUACAAUAAUAGCAGUAGUUACAAUAGUUACAGUUACAUACGUUUUUCAUUAUAAUUAUAAUUAUUAUUAUUAUUAUCAUUAUCAUAUAACAUUAUUAUACUAUUACGUUUUUUCAAUAAUAAUUACUCAAUACUAUAGCGACAGGAUUGAUUAUACAAAUGUAGACAGUGGGUUUUUUUUUUACUAAGGAAAUAAUAAUUACAUAUACUCGUAGUUUGAAAUAUUUAGAUUUACAGUGUUUUAACGAAAUAUAUUAUAAUAAAUACAUAAUAGAUAUACAAUAAAUAAUACGGUUUUCAGUUUUACACACACAUACACACACACAAACAGACAGACAGACAGAAUGUUUUAAGAAUAAUGUAUUUCUCUUUACAAAAAAAUAUGGUUUUGAAAAUUAAAUUAUCGUUAUUUUUUUUUUUUUUUUUUGUUUUUUUCUUAUUGUAUUCCUUUUAUUUUUUAUUUUUUGUUUUGUGUUAAGUUUAUGUUAUAUACCUAUUAUACGAAAAAAUCCGUUCAGGUUUUUUCGUGUGGUAUGUUUUUUAUAAUGAACUAUACAUAACCUUGACUAAUAUUUCCCUAUACCCCCCCCUUCCCUCCCGGAAAAAACAUAUGUUUAUUAUUUUGUAUUAAGUUGCUCAAAAUGAAAAUGACAAAAAAAAAUUAAAAUUAUUAAUAAAUUGGAACAAAAAUGUAAUUAAAAAAAAAAAAAGUAUACUAUUAUAUAUUAUUAUUUAUUACCAUUGUAAAUUUUUUCUUUUUUUUUUUUUGGGAAACGAUUGUCUAGAUAUUCGAUGUUAUUUUAAUAUUAUAUAUUAUUAAUAUUAUGAAUACCUAUAAUUUUUUUUUUUUAAUUAUUAUUAUUAUUAUUAUUAUUAUUAUUAUUAUUAUUAUUAUUAUUAUUAUUACUAUAUAUUAUUUUCGGUUCCUCGAUACUAUAUUAUUGUAUUUAUUAUUUUGUCACGAAAAUUAUUGUCCUGAUGUGUUGAAACACGACUAUAAUAUAUAUUGUAUAGGUACUAUAUACCUACGUUUUGAUUCAAC